AAAGCCCUAGUCUGUUCUCUUGCUGAAGCGUAUCGUUGCCUCGCAUGGAAAAUCGAAAGAAAAAUCACAUCUGCAACUCUCAGAGAAAGAAACACGAUCGGUGAGCUAUCUUACUCGACCUGGAAAGGGCUUUGAUUUGCAAGUAAACCUCGGACCCAGAAGAUCGAAGGAGCUCGCCGGACACCUGCAUCACUCAGACAAAUAAACAUGGUUGAGAUUAUUUUGUGAUUUGGAUCGGUCAGAUAAAGAGGCAGUGCAAUUUCUGAUUGAGAAACUUCAAUCCCUGACAACCAAAAAAGCUUGGUUAGACGAACAGUGCUUCUUAAUAGUAGUGUUG